rnacentral:rRNA from 1 species
AUGGCCGCCGCCGCCGCCCGCACCGGCCUCCCACCGGCGGAUCACGAUCCGCUCGAGGGGGCAGAAUCGGAGUCGGAGGAGGAGGUGGAGAGCGGCGAGGAGCGAGGCGAUGAUGGGUCGGAGGCUGAGACCCUCGCCGACCUCUACGGCCCCGACGCGGGGUCCGACAAGGACCCCUCCUUCGACCCCGCCGCCGACAAGCGGGCGGUGGGGGAGGCCGCGCUGUGGUCCAGGAUGGCCCGGCUGUCCAUCUCCGCGCGCAAGGGCAGGAAAGCACCCGUGGCGCUAGAGAUGGGAAAUGAGGAUAUUGAUCUUUUGGCGAUGGUGGACAAGCUGAUGCACGAUGGCCAGUUGGAGAAAUUGAAGGUUUAUGAAUGCAAAGCAUACCUGAGGAUUCACAAGUUGAGAUUGGGAGGCAAGAAAGAAGAGCUUCUAAAUCGUAUCAGGGAUCACAUUGAGGUUAAAUUGUUUGGAGAUGUGAAGUAUCCAGUGUCAAGCUUUGUUCUGAACUGUAAAGGUGAUGCAUGCAAAGGUGAUGUGGUGAUGUUUGAGCAAAAUAUUUACAGAAGGAAAAAGGGAGAUCCUCGUGGAAUCAAGGGUCGUCUAUGCGGUCAGAGGACAAAUGCUGGUAGAAUAAUCAAAGAAAGCUAUGGCACUGCAAAGCAACAGCAUACAUUCACUGUUGAGAUUUUCUGGAGUAAAGGGUACAAACCAUGGCCUCCCCUUCAUCCUCUCCUCAUAAAGGGAAGAAAUCUUUACAAGGAUAAGACCAUGAGACAGCCAUGGCCUGAUGAAAAGGAAAGAAGCAGAGUCCUGGAAGAAAAACAUGCAAGAGGGUUCCAGGCACGUAAGUCAAGGGAGGUCAGGAUUCAUGAGAAAGAGAUUGACAAGAUGAGGAGAUUUAAUAGGCUUAAAGACAACAAGAGCAAAGGGAAAGAGAACAUGAAUGAAAUAUCAUCUCAAACUGUUGUUCCACAACAGAAGGUUGUGUCCACGAAUCCUGUUGAUCAAAGAUUCAAUGAAGGGAGGAGUGAUUCCCUCCAACAAGGUGAACCUUGGAACGCAAGGCAGCAGCAGAUAUCUUCAAAACAAAAUCCUGCAGUUCAUUUGUUUCAUCAGCAGUUCCUCUAUCAGGGUCCUUCCGUCCAACAUGGCAAACCAGAGAAAACAAGGCAGCAGCAAAUACUGUCAAGGCCCACCACUUCAGAGCAAAUUUUCAAGCACCCAACGCAACACGACAAUCAUAGGCCUACUCCUGCACAGCAAAUGUUCAAGAACCCACAGGAACACAAUAAUCAUCAUCAGCAGCAAAAUAAAGUGCUUCCGCAGGAGGGUACAACAAAAACUGUCAGCAUACUUGGUCGGGCCCCUUGCCUUCAUUAUGGAGGACCAGGGAAUGCAGUUCAACAGCAGAAAUUAUCAAAGCCAACUCCUAUGGAGCAGAUCAGAAACCAGUCACAGCCCCUCAAACAUGAGCACCGCAAUUUAGUGCUUCCACAGGAGGAUGCAAAGAAGGGAACCAACAGAGUACAUUCCAUUGAUCACGGCAAGGCCCCUUGCCUUCAGUAUGCGGGACCAGGGAACGCAAUGCAGCAGCAAUCAGCAAGGCCAGCACUUCCACAGCAGAUAAAAAAUCCACCACAGUAUGCGGGACCAGGGAACGCAAUGCAGCAGCAAUCAUCAAGGCCAGCACUUCCACAGCAGAUCAAAAAUCCACCACAGCCCCCCAAACAUCAACACACUGAAGUGCUUCGGCAGGAGGAUGGAAAUAGAACUUACAGAGUAGAGCCCGUUGAUCGUCGGAAUAACAAUUACCAUAACACAACGUAUGACGAAUCAGCAUUCCAGGGUCGUGGGACUCAGCAUGCAAAGACACACCAGCAUGGCUCCAACGGCCAUCCACAUGCUCACGGUGAUAGCCAAUGGCAUCAACCUCUCAGGCCUAGAAUUCAGGAUUUCUCUUCAAGAAACCAAGAAGGGGAUUAUCGCGAUCAUAGGCAAACGACUCAAGAGCAGUACAAUCCUGAGGAGAGAUAUCAUCACAAUCAGUAUGGUCGCGGGCAAAUGAUUCAGGACCAGUAUCAGCCCCAAAAGAUCCAUCAUCAGAAUGGGCACGAUAGCUGGAGAAUGAACCACAACCAGUAUCAUCCCCAGGAGAACCAUCAUCAGAAUUACCGGCACGCCCAGCAGUUUCCAGCACUGAAGAUCUGCCGCUACUACCAACAAGGUUUGCGGUGCCCCUAUGAGGGAGACUGCAAGUUUUCUCAUGGCAGCUGA